rnacentral:sRNA from 1 species
UAUAAAGUGCGAUGCUCCAGCGCAGGG